rnacentral:lncRNA from 1 species
AUGCCUCAUUAAACCGGACAUGCAUCAUAUUUGUUUUUGCAUCAUGCCAUGUGUAUGUGGUGGUUGUUUACUAUGUUGUUUGUUUCUUUCCGGUUUGCUUCUCUCGUUACCUUCGGUUUCGUUCCGGAGUUGUGAGGAUUCCUUCGUCUACGUCCGUUUGUCUUCUUCAUGGACUCGUUCUUCUUCGUUGCGGGAUCUCAGGCAAGAUGACCGCCCCUCGAAAUCACUUCUAUCUUUGCUAUGCUAGUUGAUCGCUCUAUUGCCAUGCUCGCUACCUAUCACUUGCUAUAUCAUGUCUCCCAUUUUAGCCAUGUCAGCCCUAACCAUCCCUUCCUAGCAAACCGUUGUUUGGCUAUGUUACCGCUUUUGCUCAUCCCCUCUUAUAGCGUUGUUAGUUGCAGGUGAAGUUGAAGAUUGCUCCAUGUUGGAUUAUGUUUAUGUUGGGAUAUCACAAUAUCUCUUAUAUUAUUAAUGCACCUAUAUACUUGGUAAAGGGUGGAAGGCUCGGCCUUAUGCCUGGUGUUUUGUUCCACUCUUGCCGCCCUAGUUUCCGUCAUACCGGUGUUAUGUUCCUUGAUUUUGCGUUCCUUACGCGGUCGGGUGAUUUAUGGGACCCCCUUGACAGUUCGCUUUGAAUAAAACUCCUCCAGCAAGGCCCAACCUUGGUUUUACCAUUUGCUACCACCUAUCCCCUUUUCCCUUGGGUUCUGCAGACUCAAGGGUCAUCUUUAUUUUAACCCCCCCGGGCCAGUGCUCCUUCGAGUGUUGGUCCGAAGCGAGUAGGCUGCGGGGCCACCUCGGGGAAACUUGAGGUCUGGUUUUACUCGUAGGAUGUCUCAUCCGGUGUUGCCCUGAGAACGAGAUAUGUGCAGCUCCUAUCGGGAUUUGUCGGCACAUCGGGCGGCUUUGCUGGUCUUGUUUUACCAUUGUCGGAAUGUCUUGUAAACCGGGAUUCCGAGACUGAUCGGGUCGUUCCGGGAGAAGGAAUAUCCUUCGUUGACCGUGAGAGCUUAUAAUGGGCUAAGUUGGGACACCCCUGCAGGGUAUAAACUUUCGAGAGCCGUGCCCGCGGUUAUGUGGCAGAUGGGAAUUGGUUAAUAUCCGGUUGUAGAGAACUUGACACUUGACCUUAAUUAAAACGCAUCAACCGCGUGUGUAGCCGUGAUGGUCUCUUCUCGGCGGAGUCCGGGAAGUGAACACGGUUUCUGGGUUAUGUUUUGACGUAAGUAGGUGUUCAGGAUCACUUCUUGAUCAUUGCUAGUUCACGACCGUUCCGUUGCUUCUCUUCUCGCUCUUAUAUGCGUAUGUUAGCCACCAUAUAAGCUUAGUGCUUGCUGCAGCUCCACCUCACUACACCAUCCUUUCCUAUAAGCUUAAAUAGUCUUGAUCUCGCGGGUGUGAGAUUGCUGAGUCCUCGUGACUCACAGAUACUUCCAAACAGUUGCAGGUUCCGAUGAUACCAGUCCAGGUGACGCAACUGAGCUCAAGUGGGAGCUCGAUGAAGAUCUUGUCCGUUGUGUUGUUUCUUUUCUUAUUGAUCAGUAGUGGAGCCCAGUUGGGACGAUCAGGGAUCUAGCAGUUGGGUUGUCUUCUUUUCUUUUGGUUCCGUAGUCGGACCUAUGUGUGUAUCUUGAAUGAUGUAUGAAUUUAUUUAUGUAUUGUGUGAAGUGGCGAUUGUAAGCCAACUCUUUAUCCC